GCCACAGCACCUGGAGAGUGGAAAAAUCCAGAGCCCCAGCAACAGGCUGACCUGUGAACUGAGGAAGGGGAGGAGCCUGUGGGGAGGGAAGAGAAUGCGGAGUGAGGAGACAGAGCCAAGCUGAGUAGAGCUGCCUGGGAGCUGGCUUGUACCUGAGAGUGCUGACUAGAGGAGUGGGGUGCAGCUGUGGAAGGACAGCAGGAAGCUCUAGUGACUGUAGAGAUCCCCUCAGCCACCAGGAGCCGCAACACAGGGACAGAGAGUGGUGCAGACAUCACAGUGUGACCAGCCAGGCACUAACACCCCAGGUAUUUAUAUUUCUUAUAAUUAGUUGCAGAAGCAGGAAGAGAUCAGCAAAACAAUCUAACACUUUUCUCAUCUGGGGUGUGAGAACUGCUGUAAAUCUUCUAUCACCUUGUGACUUUAGGACAAAGCUGACAUUUUGGGGGGAUUCAAGUCCUGAAAAAAACGCCAUGCUGUAAAAAGGGAUGAAAACCGAAAUUAGGAUCCCCCGCUGUGCAGCAAAACCCCUCUCUUACCCCUACAUUGUCUAAGGAGAUUUGCUGUGCAAAGAACAAAGUCUCCCAUGCCUUCUGCAAUUACCAUUUGAAUCAGCUUCCAGAGCACAAAGAAUGGUGAGAUUUCCAAUAGGAAUCUGUGUGUGUAAAAGAACCGCGCUUCCAUUGGUCAGUCCUGAACAGGUUCUGCGGGCAGUCAUCACAUCCCUUGCCUUGUUGGUAUGAUGCACUCUGAGCUGAUCCGGAGAAUUAGAGAAGGAAGAAGAUAAAGCCAUCCUCUAUAUCACAGCUGGACUAAGUCUGUGUUGCGGGAAGACACCCUACGCGUUUCAUCUUUAUAAUAUCAUCACAUCUAUGGAUUUCUGCAUCGCAAAGGACAUAUUUAUAGUUUACAGCUGUUUCUAUUUCAAUGUUUCUUCAACUGUCACUGCUAAAGGUGCAAUAAAGUGUUGAUCCAAAAUAGGAAUGUACACCCCACUAAUUAAAUUAAUUAAUAUAGAUAAUCAUUAUAUCAUGAAUUAUCUGUGGAGCCGUCUGGGAGCCCGGGACGUGCAACCAUAACCGUUUCAGCAGUGCCCAUUUAUUAAAUCAUCCCACAUCCCCAUCUCAUCUCCGGACACCAUAUAACGUCAGCGUCUCACGGGUAGAAACGGAUGACUCACACUUAAUUGUUCAGAAUAAAAAAUAAAACAAAAUGGAAAGACCAAUAUACUUAAGUAAGAUAGAUUUCAAAAUGCCAAAAUACCUACAUUACUCUAUGUCUAGAUUCAUAAUAAUUUACAUCUGGCAAGAAUCCCAGAGGCCUAAAGAUUUGAGCUAUAAAUGGAGUUUUAAAGCCUGGAUUAUGUUUUAUGCAAAAGGGAAUAAAGUUAGUUACAUAAAACCGGGUAUAGUAAGCACAUCAACCUAUCACAGCUAACACGAACAUAUAGAGUAAGUCCUAUUUCGUGUCCUCAUUUAGGUUACCUGCUGGUCCCUGGGCAUUUUUAUGUGCUAUUAAAGUUUUGGUGGUAACUCCAGAGGAUGACGUUUUGUCCGUAAUGAUAAAAUAACCGAUAAAGUGAUUAUUAUGCAUAUAUCGUACAAUCGCCAUUCGUGUUUAUUUCUCAUCAUUUGGUAUACUGUAGAAAGACAUUUUACCUUACACACCAUAAAGUGUGCAAGUCUUAAAUAUAUUACAUUACUCAAGUACCAAACUACAGUAAGCAUGCACUCAGUGGCAAAUUUACCCAUGGCCUCAGCCCCCCAGUAACCUCUGCCACCUCAGUGAGCCAGUUGCAGUCCAUGACUGCACUGGCUACUCUGUGACUGGCAAUGAUUUCCCAUUGGAAGUGCUACAUGUCAGUCACAGACAGGACAGACAGCCCCAGGAGGAGGUGUUUGCUCCCUCUGGGACUGCCAGGCCGGGCUGCGACAGGAAGAACGCGUGCUUCCAGUGGGAAGUCACUCCCUACCUUCUGGGCAACCCUACCCGGCUUCUAUGGGCUGUAGCUAAUGCAGUCCAUAGAAACCAGUGUUUUGCGCAUGAGCGGCUCCACCACAACUUGUGCUGGUCCCAGCGCCAGCGAGAUCCAUUGCACAGGUGCCAUCACCUGGCCGGCCAGGGCUGUCUCCUCUCCGAGUCCAGGCACAGGUAGCGGCAGUCCCCCUCCUACAAGCAGGUAGGAGCCGCUGCUGUCUAACAUUAACAUGUAAUAAAGAUGGCUAUACAGGUUGAGUAUCCCAUAUCCAAAUAUUCCGGAAUACGGAAUAUUCCGAAAUACGGACUUUUUUGAGUGAGACUGAGAUAGUGAAACCUUUGUUUUUUGAUGGCUCAA